UACGUAGGUGGCAAGCGUUGUCCGGAUUUAUUGGGUUUAAAGGGUGCGUAGGCGGUUCUGUAAGUCAGUGGUGAAAUACUCCAGCUUAACUGGAGGGGUGCCAAUGAUACUGCAGAACUUGAGUACAGAUGAGGUAGGCGGAAUUGACGGUGUAGCGGUGAAAUGCAUAGAUAUCGUCAAGAACACCUAUAGCGAAGGCAGCUUACUGGGCUGUAACUGACGCUGAGGCACGAAAGUGUGGGGAUCAAACAGG
rnacentral:rRNA from 2 species